rnacentral:rRNA from 1 species
GACGAACGCUGGCGGCAGGCCUAACACAUGCAAGUCGAGCGGAGCGGCGGACGGGUGAGUAAUGCCUAGGAAUCUGCCUGGUAGUGGGGGAUAACGUCCGGAAACGGGCGCUCAUACCGCAUACUAUCAGAUGAGCCUAGGUCGGAUUAGCUAGUUGGUGGGGUAAAGGCCUACCAAGGCGACGAUCCGUCACUGGUCUGAGAGGAUGAUCAGUCAAACGGGGACUGAGACACGGGCCAGACUCCGACGGGAGGCAGCAGGGGGGAAGAUUGGACAAUGGGCGAAAGCCUGAUGCAGCCAGGCCGCGUGGGUGAAGAAGGUCGUCGGAUUGUAAAGCACUUGAAGUUGGGAGGCGUUACCAACAGAAUAAGCAACGGCUAACUUCGUGCCAGCAGCCGCGGUAAUUC